rnacentral:lncRNA from 1 species
ACAUACAUUUUCCAACACGGAGCGGCUUGCACACAUGCAGCUCUUAGGCCCGGGCCGCACGUCUCAGAAGCCCCGUGUGCGACUUUGACCGCCGCACGAUCCUCUGCCGGGGGAGGUGGGCCCGCUGCGCUUUGGGAGCACCCGCGCCCGACACUGAGGUCUCGGUGCUGUGUUCGGCCUCUUCGUCCCUGCGGGUCCCCUCUGGGAGCAGAGGCGGUCGGAAAACCCUGGGGCUGAAGUGCAGGCUUCGGGAGGACGCGACCUGCCAAGAUCAGCUCCCGGCACGUGAUGGGAGCCUGGCUCACCUUCCCCCAGCGCACGAUGGGCCGCAGCCUCCCCGGUCGGCCUGGCCUGCUGGAAAGGAGCAGCUCUGUUUCCAGAGGCUUCUGGCGAAGCCCACGGCCUCCCAUUGUUGGCUGAUUUAUAAGGAAAGAGGGGAAAGGCCAAGUGUGGAUGCCAUUAGCAUAACCUAAUCCAGACCCCAUGACAAGUCCAGGAUCCUGCAGGGAGAGGGCAUCCUUGAACGUGAAGGACUGGCUUUGGAAACUUGGCCUCCCGGAAGAAAGGUCUCCGGGCCCACCCACACCCACCUUGUGGACGCCCCCGCAGUCGAAUACACUCCACAGGAAGACGGACCACAAACAGCAGCAGCCUCCGGUGUCGGCCCAGUGAUCCGGGAGCUCAGAGUUGCAGCAAGCUUAAACUUCCUUAAAAACAAACCUCUGGGAAGAGGAAAACGAGGCAAGAUGCUGAGAAAAAGUCAUCUCCCACUCUGCCCUUCUCUGGCAAAUCGAAGUGUCCUCUUGUGGGAGGCGGUGGGCAGCGACACUCCUGUUGGACGUCAGUGCUCUCGGGAUGGGCCCGGCCACCCCGGAGCAGAACUCACUUAGGGCCUGGUGCCCCUGUGCCCAGUUCUCAGAACGUCGGAGUGCUCAGUUCUCAGAACGCCGGAGUGCCCCAUUCAUAACCUGCAGCCCCGUUCAUAGCCUGCAGCUCCCCUCCUUCCUCUCCUCCCGGUCGUCAGGGAGCACCCCCAGCUCCCCUCCCCACUCUCAAACCCUCCUCCUCCCUCCCCUCUCUCAUUUCCCUGUUUGCAGGAUCUCCUCCUGCCCACUCUCCAGCCCAGGUCCUCCCCUCUCAUCUCCAAUUCUGCUUCAUGGGCCAUGACAGCAGGCAGGCCAUGGCCUGCUCUCAGCAGUUUGAUCGAUGGACUAAGGAGAUCACUCCUAUGAGAGUGAAAAAGUCAAAUGUGCCUGAGAUUCGGAUGGGGAGCUCUCAAAGCUACGGAUUGCAAGAGUCAACACCGCCUCAAAAGUACAAGGCCGGCCGGGUGCAGUGGCUCACACCUGUAAUCCCAGCACUUUGGGAGACUGAGGCGGGUGGAUCACCUGAGGUCAGGAGCUCAAGACCAGCCUGACCAACAUGGUGAAAUCCCGUCUCUAUUAAAAAUACAAAAAAGAUUAGCCGGGUGUGGUGGUGCAUGCUUGUAGUCCCAGCUACUCGGGAGGCUGAGGCAGGGGGAGCACUUGAACCCGGGAGGUGGAGGUUGCAGUGAGCCGAGAUUGCACCAUUGCACUCCAGCCUGGGCAACAGAGUGAGACCCUGCCUCAAAAAAAUAAAAAAAUAAAAGUACGAGGCCCGGUUUAAAUGCAGGAGGAAUCUGGUGAGCGAGUUUCACUCUGAUGCAACAGAAAAGCCAAGCCAAGCCUUGGCUGUGCCUGGUCUUGGCCGGGGAGCCACAGGCAGGGUCUGCUGGUUUCGGUGUCAGGGGCACAUCCCCAGGACCACGUCUGAGAUGGGAAGUGCCUUGAUGGAAAACUGAUACCUUUUUCUUUCCGAGUAACUUUAGAACAUGUCGCUUCAAAUAUAACUAAUAUCCUGAUUUCAGUGGACUUGCAUGGAAGGAAACGCAAGUUCAUUUGCCAGUGGGGGGUGAGGACUGGGAGAGUGGGGAGCAGGGUGGGGAAGAGGGGAGCAUUCCACAAGCCGCAAGAGCCUGGACACCUCCAGCCUUCAAUAAAUAGCAUUUGAAUUUGCUGUGCCUAA